CCUACGGGAGGCAGCAGUGAGGAAUAUUGGUCAAUGGGCGAAAGCCUGAACCAGCCAAGUCGCGUGAAGGAUGACUGCCCUACGGGUUGUAAACUUCUUUUGUCAGGGAGCAAUUGAGUCCACGUGUGGUGUUAGCGAGAGUACCUGAAGAAAAAGCAUCGGCUAACUCCGUGCCAGCAGCCGCGGUAAUACGGAGGAUGCGAGCGUUAUCCGGAUUUAUUGGGUUUAAAGGGAGCGUAGGGGGAAAUUUAAGUCAGGUGUGAAAAUUCGGGGCUCAACCGUAGUAGUGCAGUUGAACCUGACAGUCUUGAGUGGGCGAGAAGUAGGCGGAAUGCGUGGUGUAGCGGUGAAAUGCAUAGAUAUCACGCAGAACUCCGAUUGCGAAGGCAGCUCACUGGAGUCCAACUGACGCUGAGGCACGAAAGUGUGGGUAUCGAACAGGAUUAGAUACCCGAGUAGUC
rnacentral:rRNA from 1 species